ensembl:misc_RNA 7SK 7SK RNA
GGAUGUGAGGGCGAUCUGGCUGCGACAUCUGUCACCCCACUGAUUGCCAGGGUUGAUUCAGCUGAUCUGGCUGGCUAGGCGGGUGUCCCCUUCUUCCCUCACUGCUCCAUGUGCGUCCCUCCCAAAGCUGCGCUCUCGGUCUGAGAGGACGGCCUUCCCCGAAUAGAGACGGACCAGUCUUAGGUCGAGGGUGUACGAGUAGCUGUGCUCCCCUGCUAGAACCUCCAAACAAGCUCUCAAGAAAGAUAAAAACAAGUAUGGGAUGAUACCACUAAUAAAUAGAAGUU